AAGAAGUAGAAGAUUAAUGAGAGAAGAGAAAGUACUUCACAUUCGAAACGUGAAUCAAAUGUAGAUCUCUGUGAAAGCAGAUGGUACUUACUUCCUCAUAUGAACUACCAAAGAAAUUGGAAAAACAAAGAUUGUCUUUACAUUCCAAUUUUAAAGAAUUUAAUUCCGUCACUAUAGUAGAGAUGGAUGAAUGUUUUGUUUGACAAAACAUUGUUCUUUAUUAAUCAA
rnacentral:lncRNA from 1 species